UUCUAAUUCUUGCAAAAAUGGCAGGCUUUGAGACAAAAUCCUAUUCCUGUAAUAAAGCUUAAAAACUGGCUUGUGUAGGAUCUGGGGAAACAAAUUCCAUCAGACUGCGACAAAGGAAGGAAGGAGCUGUGCCUUGGCUCCCCGUUACCGAGUGGUGACCUGCCAGCAGGCACUGCCACAGCUGAGGACCAGCGGGGCUGUCAGAGCACCUGCUGCACCUCACGGUGACCAGGAGCCUCGUGGGGGACAGCACAAAUUCCCACUGAGAGGUGAAACAGAAAGAACUUCCCUAACUGGGGAUAUCGCUUCCAACUGGAGAGACCAAUUUCAUUCAGUCCUGUGAGGUGAAACUGAGCACACUACUGUGUCAUUCCGUAUUAAGACCGCAGUGCACACUUGCAUGAGCAAAUGCCUUGCUUGUCGCCCUUUGCAGACAGCUUAGGUUUCAUAUUGUCCAGAUUGAGAAGCUGUUUUUUAGAGUGGGAGUGCUGGAAGGACUGCUGUCGUAAGCAAUGCAGGGAGCAAAGUGUUCACGUCUUAGCAGAGGGGAUAGCUUUUAGGAUACGUAGCUGAUAUUUCAUCCCCAAACCCUCAAGAUUCAAACUGAAAUUUGCUGGUUCCCUGGUCACUUGAGAUCCGUGUGAGGUUAAGAGCAGUCUGAAAAGAAACACAGUAAGCAUGUUUCAGAAUUAGCAAUUUCUGAGUGGACUUGUUGGGACAUUUAGAAAACUGGCAUUUUUGGCUUUGUCUACCAGAGCGUUUAGGUUCAAAGCAAUGAACGGUAUGGUUUUCACAACCAGCAAAUCUCCUCAUCGUCCCCACCCACCACUUGUUGGUUGAGUUGCAGGGGUGGUUUUGGUUCAUGCAAACUUCAUUCCUUUCGCAUAAAAGUAAACCAGAAGCUGCGCUCUGGUUGUUCGACGCUGGCACUCCAUCCUUUAAUGGAAACGUAGGGUCCAAACCAAAGGCAGCUUUGAGCCAUAUCCAUGGUACAGACACUCGGCCUGGGGGACCUGACUAAAAUCUAGACCUAAAUCCUACCCCCUCACUCCAGCUACGCGUGUACACAUCCUAAAUUCUUUGAUCUUUUGAACCAUAUUCCCAUUGUGCCAGAUAACUCGGUAAUACAGAAAUUGCUUGUCUUAAGCUAGACAAGAAGAAUGUUGGGGAGUCCGAGGGACUGCCUUUUGUUUAUCUGAUUAAAAAAAAAAACAGUGAGGGAGGAGGAAGAAAGAGCAGACAUAAAACAUGGGUGUUAUUCACAUGGAAAGAUUAAAUGGAAUGAGAAUACCGGAGGAAAGGCCCGGAGUGUGACAGAUCAAAAGAGCAAGGCCUCUGGCUGUUACGAUAAAGAAUGCCCUAGUUCUUGAGAACAUAUUUAUAUGUGUGUGCUGGAUUUUUUUUUUUAAUGAAAUAGUUUUAUUCAAAGAAAGGUCUGUUCCUACCACAUGGGCUGUUUGAGGGGGGAAAUAGUGGGUGAAAAUAUAACUUUCACAGCCAGUCCUAUAAGGAAUGUUUUGUGCGAAUGAGAACGGGGUCCAUUCUUUUAAAUUAAAAAAAAACUUUAUUGGAGGGCUGGGGAAAAUGGGGGUUGUCAGCAUUUUUUGCUCUGGGUUGGCAGCUCCUGUACAGCUCGGUGUGUUGCUUGGCUGUGCAGUAGAUCUGCUUGUGCAGACACGCAUGUGGUGUCCCACGGACGGCAGGGAGUUCUCGCUGAACUUCAGCCAAAGUGCGCAGAGGGCUAGGGAGUCAAAUGUUCUCGUAGCCAGGCAGAACACUACAGCCGUGUUUCAGGCUGCGUGCAAAUACUCCCUGCAGAAACGGCUGCGAUGGGUUUCGUCUCUCCCCGGGCUGGAAGGUGCUUGCCCCGCGGUGUACGUUGGGAGCAGCUCACGUGAACACUCCUCGUGUGUUCUGCUGCAAACUUGGCCAUUUUUAGGCAGAAGUUAGGUCCUCGCAGGUAAACUCCUCUCUGCCUCAUACUGCAUACCUGCAGGGAUCUCUUCUUAGAUACUGUCGUGUUCCUGAGUACAAAGAGUCAGCAAAAUGGCAGGAGCUUACACAUGCAGCUUUAUAGGACCUUACAAAGUGCAGGUGGUAGAGAAACACAUAUCCAGUGGGGUUGGCUCUACUUGCCUAAGGCAGUUUUAUGGGGGUAACUUGUUGAGUUGAGGAACUAUUCCUGAUUUUUCCUUGCUGUUUGUGGGAGUUAGACAGAAUGCCGUUAGAGCCGUAUGGCUGCCGUGGCAUCUGCUGGGAGCAGAUCAGGUAAGAGUACCCCUAGAGUUCCUGCUCCCACCGCUUCCUUGCGGGGUGCACAGUAAGCUGCCUUUCCAGUUACUUCUCCAGCAAGCAACAGCAAUUAAGAAUUAAAAGUCAGGACUAGCAAAUUGGCAUUACUGCUCAGGCUCGGAAGCAGUAGCGGAGGAACUGAAUGGAUCCCUACAAACCUAUCGGCAAUUAGUGGGGAGAUUCCUGGUCAGUGGGAGUUCAGGCAAACAAAGGGCACGCCGUACUCAGCGAUGGCCUCUAGUGUCUGCAGCACAGCUCUGCAUACGCCCGGGUACGGGAGACAAUACAGCACCCCUGGCUGCGAAGCGGCACCCGCUACUGAUCUGACUGCUAAUUCCCAUCGGCAGCGAUGCUCAAGCUCCAGCGGCGGCAAAUCGCGUGGCUC